rnacentral:rRNA from 1 species
GAUGAACGCUGGCGGCGUGCCUAAUACAUGCAAGUCGAGCGAACGGACGAGAAGCUUGCUUCUCUGAUGUUAGCGGCGGACGGGUGGGUAACACGUGGAUAACCUACCUAUAAGACUGGGAUAACUUCGGGAAACCGGAGCUAAUACCGGAUAAUAUUUUGAACCGCAUGGUUCAAAAGUGAAAGACGGUCUUGCUGUCACUUAUAGAUGGAUCCGCGCUGCAUUAGCUAGUUGGUAAGGUAACGGCUUACCAAGGCAACGAUGCAUAGCCGACCUGAGAGGGUGAUCGGCCACACUGGAACUGAGACAAGGUCCAGACUCCUACGGGAGGCAGCAGUAGGGAAUCUUCCGCAAUGGGCGAAAGCCUGACGGAGCAACGCCGCGUGAGUGAUGAAGGUCUUCGGAUCGUAAAACUCUGUUAUUAGGGAAGAACAUAUGUGUAAGUAACUGUGCACAUCUUGACGGUACCUAAUCAGAAAGCCACGGCUAACUACGU